AGCACUGUAGCUUAGUCGGUUUAGUGCGUGCCUGGUAAACACAAGGUCCUGGGUUCGGGCCCCAGCACUGCAU
rnacentral:tRNA from 1 species